UAGCAUAUCAAUAAGCGGAGGAAAAGAAACCAACAGGGAUUGCCCUAGUAACGGCGAGUGAAGCGGCAAGAGCUCAAAUUUGAAAUCUGGCUCCUUUGGAGUCCGAGUUGUAAUUUGUAGAGGGUGCUUUGGUGUUGGCCAUGGCCUAAGUUCCUUGGAACAGGACGUCACAGAGGGUGAGAACCCCGUACGUGGCCGCUGGUCUUCACCGUGUAAAGCCCCUUCGACGAGUCGAGUUGUUUGGGAAUGCAGCUCUAAAUGGGAGGUAAAUUUCUUCUAAAGCUAAAUAUUGGCCAGAGACCGAUAGCGCACAAGUAGAGUGAUCGAAAGAUGAAAAGCACUUUGGAAAGAGAGUCAAAAAGCACGUGAAAUUGUUGAAAGGGAAGCGCUUGCAGCCAGACUUGCCCGUAGUCGCUCAUCCGAGCUCUUGCUCGGUGCAUUCUUCUGCGGGCAGGCCAGCAUCAGUCCGGGCGGUCGGAUAAAGGCUCUGGGAAUGUAGCUCUCUUCGGGGAGUGUUAUAGCCCAGUGUGUCAUGCGACCAGGCUGGACUGAGGUCCGCGCAUCUGCUAGGAUGCUGGCGUAAUGGCUGUAAGCGGCCCGUCUUGAAACACGGACCAAGGAGUCUAACAUCUAUGCGAGUGUUUGGGUGUCAAGCCCGGGCGCGCAAUGAAAGUGAACGGAGGUGGGAACCCUUCGGGGCGCACCAUCGACCGAUCCUGAUGUCUUCGGAUGGAUUUGAGUAAGAGCAUAGCUGUUGGGACCCGAAAGAUGGUGAACUAUGCCUGAAUAGGGUGAAGCCAGAGGAAACUCUGGUGGAGGCUCGCAGCGGUUCUGACGUGCAAAUCGAUCGUCAAAUUUGGGCAUAGGGGCGAAAGACUAAUCGAACUAUCUAGUAGCUGGUUCCUG
rnacentral:rRNA from 1 species